CGCUGAGGGAGCUGAGCGGCGCUUGUGGCUGCUGGGUGUCAGGCGCUGGGAGGGCAGGUCGAGUCUCUUGCUGCUAAGCCCAAUCAGCAUGAUACCAUCCAUGUAAUUGCCCAACAUAAAUUUCUGUGGAAUAAAGAGAUGAUCAAGUACCUGUAAUAGGGCUGCAGAGUUGAUGUACCCAUAAGAAAAGAAGGUAAGACACAGACACACAAAGAAGUCCAUGUGAAGACAGAGACAGAGAUUGGAGUUAUGCUACUGCAAGCCCAGGAACACCAGGAGCCACUAGGAACUGGGAGAGGCAGGGAAAGAAUCUCUCCUAGAGUUUUUGGAGGAAGUGUGCCCCUGUCAACCUCGUGAUUUCAGAUUUCUGACCCCCAGAACAGUGAGAAAAUAAAUUCCUACUGUUUUAA